UACGUAGGGUGCAAGCGUUAAUCGGAAUUACUGGGCGUAAAGCGUGCGCAGGCGGUUGUGCAAGACAGAUGUGAAAUCCCCGGGCUUAACCUGGGAACUGCAUUUGUGACUGCACGGCUAGAGUGCGGCAGAGGGGGAUGGAAUUCCGCGUGUAGCAGUGAAAUGCGUAGAGAUGCGGAGGAACACCGAUGGCGAAGGCAGCCCCCUGGGCUAACACUGACGCUCAGGCACGAAAGCGUGGGGAGCAAACAGG
rnacentral:rRNA from 1 species